rnacentral:misc_RNA from 1 species
CGGACUACAAGGGUUUCUAAUCCUGUUUGCUCCCCACGCUGUCGCGCCUCAGCGUCAGUAACGGACCAGCUCGCCGCCUUCGCCACCGGUGUUCUUCCCAAUAUCUACGAAUUUCACCUCUACACUGGGAAUUCCACGAGCCUCUUCCGUCCUCUAGCCCCACAGUCUCAAGCGCAGCCCCCAGGUUGAGCCCAGGAAUUUCACGCCUGACUUGCAGAGCCGCCUACGCGCCCUUUACGCCCAGUAAUUCCGAGCAACGCUAGCCCCCUUCGUAUUACCGCGGCGGCUGGCAC